rnacentral:ncRNA from 2 species
CUCUUAUCAAGAGAGGUGGAGGGAAGAGCCCUAUGAAGCCCGGCAACCUGUCUUACGACAAGGUGCUAAUUCUCGCAGAAGUUUACUUCUGAAAGAUGAGGG